rnacentral:rRNA from 1 species
CAGGCCUAACACAUGCAAGUCGAACGAGACCUUCGGGUCUAGUGGCGCACGGGUGCGUAACGCGUGGGAAUCUGCCCUUGGGUUCGGAAUAACAGUUAGAAAUGACUGCUAAUACCGGAUGAUGACUUCGGUCCAAAGAUUUAUCGCCCAGGGAUGAGCCCGCGUCGGAUUAGCUAGUUGGUGGGGUAAAGGCUUACCAAGGCGACGAUCCGUAGCUGGUCUGAGAGGAUGAUCAGCCACACUGGGACUGAGACACGGCCCAGACUCCUACGGGAGGCAGCAGUGGGGAAUAUUGGACAAUGGGCGAAAGCCUGAUCCAGCAAUGCCGCGUGAGUGAUGAAGGCCUUAGGGUUGUAAAGCUCUUUUACCNCGGGAUGAUAAUGACAGUACCGGGAGAAUAAGCCCCGGCUAACUCCGUGCCAGCAGCCGCGGUAAU